rnacentral:rRNA from 1 species
CGCCCAACAGCUAGCCCCAAAACCAAAACCAACACCAAACUAUACAUACCCCCAAAAACACUUAAAUUUUAAAACUAAAUCAUUCUACCCACCAAGUAUAGGCGAUAGAAAAGGAAACCAGGAGCUAUAGAAACAGUACCGCAAGGGAACGCUGAAAAAGAAAUGAAAGAACCCAGUAAAGCACAAAAAAGCAGAGAUAGAACCUCGUACCUUUUGCAUCAUGAUUUAGCAAGCACCCACCCCGCAAAGCGCACUUUAGUCGGAACCCCCGAAACUAGACGAGCUACUCCAAGACAGCCUAUAAAUAGGGCACACCCUUCUCUGUGGCAAAAGAGUGGGAAGAGCUUUGAGUAGAGGCGACAAACCUACCGAGCCUAGUUAUAGCUGGUUGCCUGAGAACUGAAUCCAAGUUCAGCCUUUUGACUUCUUCCCCCAAAAACCCUAAUUAAACCCACCAGGCCUAAAGAAGACAAAAGAGUUAAACAAAGGGGGUACAGCUCCUUUGUUACAAGAUACAACUUUAACAGAAGGAUAAAGAUCAUAAUAAAACAAGGUACAUGUUCUGGUGGGCCUAAAAGCAGCCACCCACAUUGAUAGCGUUAAAGCUCGAACAUACCCGCCCCCAUUAAUAAUGCUAACAACAUCUUAAUCCUCUAAACCUACCAGGCCCUUCCAUGCAACCAUGGAAGAGAUAAUGCUAAUAUCAGUAAUAAGAGGGCCCGACCCUCUCCUUGCACAAGUGUACAUCGAAACGAACCCCCAUCGAACAUUAACGGAUCCAAAACAAGAGGGCAGUGAAACGCUAAAGAAACAACCAGAAAAACCUCCACACACUAAACCGUUAACCUCACACUAGCGUGCUUACAAGGAAAGACUAAAAAAAAGAGAAGGAACUCGGCAAACACCAAGCCUCGCCUGUUUACCAAAAACAUCGCCUCUUGCAAACAACAAAUAAGAGGUCCCGCCUGCCCUGUGACUAUAUGUUUAACGGCCGCGGUAUUUUGACCGUGCGAAGGUAGCGCAAUCACUUGUCCUUUAAAUGGGGACCUGUAUGAAUGGCACAACGAGGGCUUAACUGUCUCCUCUUUCAAGUCAAUGAAAUUGAUCUCUCCGUGCAGAAGCGGAGAUACUACCAUAAGACGAGAAGACCCUGUGGAGCUUUAGACACCAAAACAGACCAUGUUAAAGACCCUAAAACAAAAGAUUAAACUCAAUGCCCCCUGACUUGAUGUCUUCGGUUGGGGUGACCGAGGAGAAGAACACAACCUCCAUGCGGAAUAGGAGUACUACUCCCACAAUCACGAACCCCCGUUCUAAUUACCAGAAUUUCUGACCCUAUGAUCCGGCAACGCCGAUUAACGAACCAAGUUACCCCAGGGAUAACAGCGCAAUCCCCUUUUAGAGCCCCUAUCAACAAGGGGGUUUACGACCUCGAUGUUGGAUCAGGACAUCCUAAUGGCGCAGCCGCUAUUAAGGGUUCGUUUGUUCAACGAUUAAAGUCCUACGUGAUCUGAGUUCAGACCGGAGUAAUCCAGGUCGGUUUCUAUCUAUGAAGUGAUCUUUCCUAGUACGAAAGGACCGAAAAGAGAAGGCCCAUGCUAAAAGUACGCCUUACCCCCACCUAAUGAAACCAUCUAAAAUAGGUAAGGGGGCACACCCCUCAGCCAUAAACAAUGACAU